rnacentral:lncRNA from 1 species
CUCGAUCUCCUGACCUCGUGAUCCCCCCGUCUCGGCCUCCCAAAGUGCUGGGAUUACAGGCGUGAGCCACCGCGCCCGGCCCCAUCUUUUUUUAUUAUGGAAGGCUUCCCCAAGCUUCUUUGUCAGUGCACACCAGUGAAGAUGUUUUCCUGUCUGCAUUUCCUGGCUGUAUAGGAAGAAGAUAGAGACAAACAGGGAGAACAACAUGUAAUGGCAGAGGCAGAGAUUGCAUCGAUGCAGCCGCAAGCUAAUAAAUGCCGAAGACUGACAGCCACCACCAGGAGCAAGGAAGAGGAAGUGUACUGAAGAUGCAAGUUUUUUUCAUCUGGAGUUCUGCCUGACCAAGAAUUAAGCCUAUAAAUCUAUCUUGCCAUUCAAGCAGAGAGCACUGGACAAACU